rnacentral:lncRNA from 1 species
AUUGGCUGGUCGUCAUAGUUGUAAUAGAUCUCCACCUGUUUAAUAUCACUAACAAUAUAGAAAGGAACCUCCUCAAUGAGUUUUGGGAUGUUCCAUCCCCUCUCAUCAAAAAAUUGGUUCAACAUGGUUCUUUUAGAGGAAUUGUGAUGAUUAAUCAAUUUAGCCAAAGCACCUUUGCCAGUCCAGUUAUCCCACCAAAAUGAAAUAUUUCCUUUGCCUGAUUUUUCAAGGAAUGAUGUUUUCAAGAUCAUCUUUGAUAUUCAUGAUUCUUUUCCAAUUAUGAGAUUUACCAUAAGAUCACUUCUUGAGAACCAGGUGCUUUCUUUUGCAGUAUUUAUCUUUCUUUUGCAGUAUUUAUCUUCCAAAAAAUCCCAAAGCAAACUACGAUUUGUCCUAAAGUUCCACUAAGCCUUGGCUGAGAAGGUAAUACACACAUCCUUUAAGGAUCUAUCCAAUACCACCCUCUAGAGUAGGCAAGAAAAGAUCUUCUCAAGCUAUCCAACGUUGUUUAUUUUUAUUGUCGAUAUCUUAUACUUGAUACACAUGUGAUAUAAUACAUAUAUACGACAUACACUAGACUAUGAUAUUUUGUUCAUCAACCUUAAAGUUCCAUAUGAAAUUCGAACUAAAACUUC